UACAUGGGGUGCAAACGUUGCUCGGAAUUAUUGGGCGUAAAGCGCACGUAGGCGGUUCGUUAAGUCGGAUGUGAAAGCCCUCGGCUCAACUGAGGAAGUGCACCCGAAACUGGCGAGCUUGAGUACGAAAGAGGAUCGCGGAAUUCCCGGUGUAGAGGUGAAAUUCGUAGAUAUCGGGAGGAACACCGGUGGCGAAGGCGGCUCACUGGCUCGAUACUGACGCUGAGGUGCGAAAGCGUGGGGAGCAAACAGG
rnacentral:rRNA from 1 species